ACACGGUGUGCGCACCCACUGACCUGCGCCCACUGUCUGGCACUCCCUAGUGAGAUGAACUGGGUACCUCAGAUGGAAAUGCAGAAAUCACCCGUCUUCUGCGUCGCUCACGCUGGGAGCUGUAGACCGGAGCUGUUCCUAUUCGGCCAUCUUGGCUCCUCCUGCUUCUUUCCUUGAUAUGAUGUUCAAACCAGGAAAAUGUGCAAAUAUCAAGGUUACCUGGGUCUGCUGGUCACUUCUAGUUUUUGGACUCUUGAAGAUGGUGAGUUUUGCUAAUGAUGCGCGGCUGUUUAAGAACCAGGUGGCUUUUCUGGCAAUCACUCUUCGUGUGCCAUCUUUUAUAAAGGUGCUUCUUGUUGCUAAGAGAUCAGUUGCUUAGAGACCAAACCAUUAAAAAAAUAUAUAUGUCAGGGGCCAACAUAAAUUAUAGCCAAAUUUUGUCAUUUCAGCUCGCCCCCUGAAUGUUUGGCUUUUGUAAUAGAUCGUAGCGUACCAAGAGAAGCUAAUUACUAAUCACAAAUAGAAAACUGACCAUGAGGAGGAGAAAAGAUCUGUGCGUACGCUCCUGUGAACAGAGAGUAAUAUCAUGCCUCCCUUCCAUGGAGUUACAUAGUUGCUGGGCUCUCUGAAACUUUGGCUCCUCGUAGGGGGUCCUAGACAUAUGCCGUAAAAAUAGAUUCAUGCACACACAUAGAUACCUGUCCCAGGAAAACUUGAAUGCAGGGUGGAGUAUGAAGAUGUGGGAAUUGUGGGGCUACUUUACAGUCUUUUUCUAAGGAAAAUUAAAGAAAAAUGCACUGCUUAGGAAAAUGUAUGUCGGAAAUCCGAAGUGAUCUUAGCCUUUAGCCAGAUGUUUUAUGUGUGAACGUGAUUGUCACUGCAUCAGGUUCAGUUGUGUACACCUGGGGUUCAGGGGGUGCUUGGGUAAAAGUCUCUCUACCUUCUAUUUUCUCUCCUGUACUGAGAUAUGGCAUCCUCUGAGGGAG
rnacentral:lncRNA from 1 species